rnacentral:misc_RNA from 1 species
AAAUUAAAAAAAAAAAAAACCUGAAUUGAAUCUAAGAUAAAGCUGAAAAAGUGGAUGGCCAAACCAUUUUUUUUGCCUAAAUCAUUUUAAAGCCUCCAGCUUUGAUAGCCUCUCAACACUAACCCUAGUUAUGCUCAUCUGUGUUAUCCUGUAAUGAUUGAAAUACUGAAUUAUUCUGAAUAUAUGAAUAUUCCUUUCAUAUUUAAGAGAAAAUAUUUGGCUCUACGAAAUUUUCAUAUUAUUCUAUUUGGAAUUUGAAUAUGAGAGAAAUUACGCAAAAAAAAAAGGAAAAAAAAA